rnacentral:rRNA from 1 species
UACAGAGGGUGCAAGCGUUAAUCGGAAUUACUGGGCGUAAAGCGCGCGUAGGUGGUUUGUUAAGUUGGAUGUGAAAUCCCCGGGCUCAACCUGGGAGCUGCAUCCAAAACUGGCAAGCUAGAGUAUGGCAGAGGGUGGUGGAAUUUCCUGUGUAGCGGUGAAAUGCGUAGAUAUAGGAAGGAACACCAGUGGCGAAGGCGACCUCCUGGGCUGAUACUGACACUGAGGUGCGAAAGCGUGGGGAGCGAACAGG